rnacentral:rRNA from 1 species
UACGAAGGGGGCUAGCGUUGCUCGGAAUCACUGGGCGUAAAGCGCACGUAGGCGGAUUGUUAAGUCGGGGGUGAAAUCCUGGAGCUCAACUCCAGAACUGCCUUCGAUACUGGCGAUCUUGAGUCCGGGAGAGGUGAGUGGAACUCCGAGUGUAGAGGUGAAAUUCGUAGAUAUUCGCAAGAACGCCAGUGGCGAAGGCGGCUCACUGGCCCGGUACUGACGCUGAGGUGCGAAAGCGUGGGGAGCAAACAGG